rnacentral:lncRNA from 1 species
CCUUUUCUUGUGCCUUUGUUUCUGUUUUCUUUUGAGACAUUCCAAUUCCAUUACGAAGGUCCUAUGGGCCCUGAAUCAGGCCGCGAUGUGGGGGUGGUUUUUGUGUUCAGUCUUCCUUACAUUCAAGUUUUUAUUUUUUGGGAACAAACGGCGUGAUGGUCGGUGGGUGCUUUUUCUGGACUCCGGCAGGAGCAGGGACGAGGAGUAAUUUUUUUGGGUGAGAGAAACACACUACCUUUUGUUACACUAGCAAAACUCGCCUUCACAAUGCUCUUUUUGUUCAUAACGGAUUAGUUAGGAGUACUAUUUGAAUCAAGGUGGUGUGCCCCUAUGCUUGCAGCUGCAUUCACGUGAUAUUUCAAGUCAAAAGGCAUCCAACGCGCUGCUCGCGCCAGUGACCUAGGUCUCCCGCCGCAGGUGCCUCCCUGCGCGUCACAGACCAUAUUUUCGAUCGCCUCCCCAUGCCGUUUCUAGACACGCAAAAUACCAAUAUGGCAGUCAGCAGUAAAGCACAAUACCACACCCUUCACUUUCGCCACACUCACGCAUGUACGGGCUCAGCUUGGGAUCAAGCCAACGCCAGAGAGGACGGCGGCAACCCUGCAUCCAUUACAAAAAUACCGUCACCGUCGUCCAUUAACCAAGCCUUGCGGGAAAAGAUGAACAGCUUCUCACCAUCGCCCGUGAGCAAGACAGGUAUCUCCGGCCGGGAUUAGCGUCUUUUCACGAAGUCAGGCGAGCAGCCUUCGCACAGCAGCUGCAAAAAAACAGCUGGCACGUUUCCGGCAGGUUCCCUGAGUAUCAACUAAACUCCCAGCUAGCUUCCUCCUCACAGAUCAAUGGAGCAGAGGCAGAGCAAGUGCUCUUGCGGUUCUAGCACAGGAAGAAUAGACUAGCGUUUGCAGUCACACAUACACUGGUGUUGCUCACGUACACAGAACUAGAGGCUUUUAUUGAUUGGAG